rnacentral:tRNA from 2 species
CGCUGGGUAGAGCAGUCUGGUAGCUCGUGGGGCUCAUAAUCCUGAGGUCGCAGGUUCAAAUCCUGCCCCAGCAC